UACGUAGGGGGCAAGCGUUAUCCGGAUUUACUGGGUGUAAAGGGAGCGUAGACGGCAGCGCAAGUCUGGAGUGAAAUGCCGGGGCCCAACCCCGGAACUGCUUUGGAAACUGUGCAGCUGGAGUGCGGGAGAGGUAAGUGGAAUUCCUAGUGUAGCGGUGAAAUGCGUAGAUAUUAGGAGGAACACCAGUGGCGAAGGCGGCUUACUGGAUCGUAACUGACGUUGAGGCUCGAAAGCGUG
rnacentral:rRNA from 1 species